rnacentral:rRNA from 1 species
AUUGAACGCUGGCGGCAGGCUUAACACAUGCAAGUCGAGCGGUAACAGAGAGAAGCUUGCUUCUCUGCUGACGAGCGGCGGACGGGUGAGUAAUGCCUAGGAAUCUGCCUAGUUGUGGGGGAUAACUUGCCGAAAGGUAAGCUAAUACCGCAUACGUCCUACGGGAGAAAGGAGGGGACCUUCGGGCCUUUCGCUAUUAGAUGAGCCUAGGUCGGAUUAGUUAGUUGGUGAGGUAAUGGCUCACCAAGACCGCGAUCCGUAACUGGUCUGAGAGGAUGAUCAGGUACACUGGAACUGAGACACGGUCCAGACUCCUACGGGAGGCAGCAGUGGGGAAGAUUGGACAAUGGGGGGAACCCUGAUCCAGCCAUGCCGCGUGUGUGAAGAAGGUCUUAGGAUUGUAAAGCACUUUAAGUUGGGAGGAAGAGCAGUUGACUAAUAUAUGGCUGUUUUGACGUUACCGACAAAAUAAGCACCGGCUAACUUCGUG